UACACCUAAAAAAAUAACCAAAAAAAAAAUGCACGCUGGCUCCCAGCCGAGACGCACACGCCGCCGCGCGGGACCUCCACGAGGGCGUCUGGCGUCACCCCGGCGCACCCGCCGAGACUGCUGCGCCGCCGCGCCGCCGCGAGAAGGGCGGAGGUCGCCAGGGAGAGAGCAUCAAAAGGAGGAGAGGGAGGUGGAAGAGGCGCCCUGCCGCCACCGCGGGCAGGCCGCCGGUGGCGCCGGCGACAGAGGAGGACGUGGCUGAGGGGGCUGAAGGUGAGGCGGCGGGAAAUCGCCCGGUGAGUCGCGAGAGCAACCCACGGGACGGAGGGAAAAGUGGCGGUGGAUUCCUUGGUUUUCACUGUUUCGUUCCCAAAUCAGAUUCGACCGGGCAAGCAUAUCCAGUUCUCUCCCGGAUUGGAUUGGGGUGGGAAGGAUCUACAUCAGAACGCGACCGGAGUAGCCGCCGGAGCUGCCGCAGUCUUGGUCUCUUUGAUUUGCGGCUCCGGCCGCCCGUGUGGUUGUAGCCGACCUGCUCUAAAGCUGUGGUGUUUGUCUCUGUCCAUCCACAAUGGAAGCUCCGGCUCCAGAUUGGUCCGGGCUACCAGCGGACAUAUUGAUCAGCAUAUUCCAGUUGCUCCAGUGCCCGGACCUCCUCCGAUCCGCCGCCGUCUGCACAUUCUGGCAAAAGGUGUACUCCACGCUCCGCCGAAGCGGCGUCUGCCCCAGUCGCCAGACUCCCUGUUUACUCUAUUGUACCGAGGCCGCCGGGGCGAAGGCUCUUGGCAUGUACAGUCUCUCUGAACGGAAGGCCUACUCCUUGCCCCUCCCUGAACCUCCCAUCAGCAGCUGGAUUGGUUCAUCACAUGGCUGGCUAGUCACCAUGGAUGAGAAGUCUGACCUGAUGCUUCUCAACCCUAACACCGGUGACAAGAUUGCACUCCCUCAUGUGACAGCCAUGGAGCAUGUUAAACCUAUCGUAAACGAAGACGGGAUUCUUGAAAAGUACAAGCUGUCUUUCUAUGAUGGAGAGCUUCCGAGGGUGGAGGAUACACCCUAUGCAUGCCAUUUGGAUAGGUACGGAGAUCUGGUCUAUCUGAAGGCAAUUUUGUCGUCAGAUCCAUCGGCAGGGGAAUGCACUGUCAUGCUCAUCCAUCAGCCGUACGCGCAGCUCUCGUUCGCCAAAGUGGGAGAUGCUCACUGGAACUGGCUCCAAAUGCAUAGUUUCUAUGCUGAUUGCAAACACCAUGAUGGCUGUUUCUACGCAUUCACUGCGGCAGGCGCAAUCGAUGUGUUUGAUUUGAACGGGCCAUCUGUCAUCCACAGAAGGAUUUUACCAAAUCUAGUUCAGAUGGUCCAGAAGUGCUAUAUUGUUCAGGCACCAUGGGGAGAUGUCCUCCAAAUCAUUAAGGAGGAGAGUUUGGAUCCUGAACAACCAGAUGGUGAGACGUAUAUCACUGCUUAUGAAGUGUACAAGGUUGAUUUUGUUGAGCUGAAGCGUGCCAAGAUGAGAGGGCUAGGUGAAUAUGCAUUGUUUACUGGGAAAAGCACAACAUCUUGCUUUAGCGCAAAGGAUCAUCCAGGCUUGAUGGCAAACCAUCUAUAUUUUACUCAUGAUGAUCACGAUGAAUUACUCAGCGGCAAAGAUGAUCCACGUGAUAUAGGAGUGUACGACUUGGAAAAUGAUACCAGAACCAAUUUGGUUGAUCCUGAACCCUGGAUGACGUGGUUCCCUCCCAUAUGGUUCACACCCAAUCUUGCAAAAGCAGUACCCUGAUACUCUGAAAGCAUGCAUUGGAGUACCAGGCAGAUUUGGCCAUCCACACGGAAGGGCAACCCCAUAAUUUCCCAAAUGAUGCCAUGUGCGCCUGCACCCAAGGGGUGUUGACUUCUGCAAGUACAAGCGUGGUAACAGCAAGCAGCUGAGGCCCAAGAAGAAGAUCAAGAAGUAGAGUGCCACCAGUCAGUUUAAUGGACCUGUUAAAAUCCAUCGUCGUGUCAGAGUUUAUGCUUCGCCAUCGUCUCUGGUUGUCGUUAAACCUUAUUUACCUUGCUUUCAGCCUCAUAUUGCUUUGUUGAUCUUUGAAAGAAAAUUUGUAUCAUGAGUAUGAUAAAGGUAGAUGAUGUUGCUCCAUAAAUUGUGGUCAUUUUCAUCCUGCUACAGUUGCUCUUAUAAAAUGUCUCUGCAGAAGAAUGUGUGAUCACACUGCU